GUUCUGUGUUUGUGUUGAAAAAUCUUGAAACAAAUGAGAAAAAUAAACAAUCAAUUAUCUGUAGGCCUAGGGACAUUAGGUAUAGGCUACAUGAGUUUGAAAUUUGAAAUGACGUGUACCAGAUCAAGAAUGAAUAGAUAAAUUAAAUGACUGACAAUGUCACGUAUUUCCGUGAGACUGGGUUGUGCCUCCUGGUGUGACGUCAUCUAAUCACCCUAAUUGGGUUGGUUCUAGUGUUGUUGUUAUCCAGUGUGCAUAGUCCAUGAAAGAUACGUAGCCUUCUGUAUGGAUUUAUCAACACACUUUUCGGUGUAGAAUUGGGUGAUCAGUGACUAUUAUAUGAGAAAUUUGUAUAUGGCGUUUCUAAAUCGUUUGUGUAGCCUAUUGCAGACAGUAGGCCUAUCCCAAAUGUGUCUAACAUGAUCGCGAAUUCCGUCUUUAUAUUCAGUUUUAUUUUUGAUUCAUUCGCGCUCAUGUGUGUCUCAUGUCAGCUGCCGGAUUGAACUUGGACCUGUCUUUUUCUAUUUAUGUAUUCGUCCGAGAGAACGACGACAUUUGCGAUCGAUAGUGUUUGCCAUUUUUGGACUAUUUAAAGUGGGGAAAUUUCAUUGUAGAAAUGCGUGCAACACACUGAAUGCUGUCGCUGUCUCUCGCCAACACUUACAGCGGACCGUCUGUGAUUAUAAAAAGUAGAUUUGAAACAUGAUCAGGCGCGGAAUGAAGGAUUGACCCCAUGGGUAAUCGAUUUCUGUGGAAACAAUGUAGGCUAUCUGGUCACUUUAUACAACAUCAUUCAACAUUAUCGAAAAGCAAUUAGUAGCCUACUGCACAAAUCCUAUCCUGUGCAUCACAACUUGAAAGAGUCAUGCAAUUGACACUUUUGCUACAAUCAUUGCAGCACAGUUGGUGUGCUGCAAUGCAGUUGGUGUGCUGCAAUUUUAUUUUAUUUUUGCAAAAAUCAGUGAAAAAAAUCCUCAAAAAUAAAAUAUAGAACGUUACAAAUUUAAAUUUUCAAAUUUACUGUUAAACAUUUGUGACUUUAAUGUACGCAUACAAAAUCUGCAGUUACAGGUGCUAAAGACUUUUGCUACAAUAAUACCUUAAUAUUUCAACGUCAUGUGUUGAAAACGCAACUCCCAUGUUCCCACGCACCACGAGUCAUCAAAUGGCUUCUGUUACUCAUCCCAAAGAUAACAGUUUACCGUGGAAGAAAAUGCUGACCCAACGUCUCCCCUUCUGGCCACAAAAGGAUUUAUUUGGAUUAAAAAUCUGACUAAGACAGGCAAACAGCAAGUUGGUCCUUUGUGCUAUUCCGUUCUCACAAGCCUCGCGGUAUGUAACCUUUUAUCUCUCGAUAAAUACUUUGAAAAUAUUUUUGUUUUGUUUUUCUUUAGGCCAUUUAUGAGUUUUACCUCUUCAUGCUAAACCCUUUUUUCGUUCUUUCUAAGUACAAAUUAUUUUUAUGUGAACUUUUGCCCAAUGAGUAGGCUAUGUCUCCCUACUGUAGACAGAGACGGACCAUCUUCCACCAUCUACAGACGUUUUGUCACGUUUUGUGGCUCUACACCUCCAGCCUGCCUGCUUCACCCCCUCCAGCCUGAUGCGCCCCACUCUCCAACCUUCCCCCCGCCUCCCUCCUGGUUAUACCAAAUAAACCUGUUCACCUUCACUCCAA